AAUGAACGCUGGCGGCAUGCCUAACACAUGCAAGUCGAACGGAGAACAGCUUGCUGUUCUUAGUGGCAAACGGGUGAGUAACGCGUGGGAAUCUACCUUUCUGUGGGGGAUAACUGGGGGAAACUUCAGCUAAUACCGCAUACGCUCGGAAACGAGGAAAGAUUUAUUGCAGAAAGAUGAGCCCGCGUCAGAGUAGGUAGGUGGUGGGGUAAUUGCCUACCAAGCCGACGAUCUGUAGCUGGUCUGAGAGGAUGAUCAGCCACACUGGGAUUGAGAUACGGCCCAGACUCCUACGGGAGGCAGCAGUGAGGAAUAUUGGACAAUGGGGGAAACCCUGAUCCAGCAAUGCCGCGUGAAUGAAGAAGGCCUUCGGGUUGUAAAAUUCUUUCACUCGUGAAGAUGAUGACGGUAGCGAGAGAAGAAGCUCCGGCUAACUCUGUGCCAGCCGCCGCGGUAA
rnacentral:rRNA from 1 species